CCUACGGGUGGCAGCAGUCGAGAAUCAUUCACAAUGGGGGAAACCCUGAUGGGGCGACGCCGCGUGGGGGAAUGAAGGUCUGCGGAUUGUAAACCCCUGUCAUGUGGGAGCAAAGUAAAAAGAUAGUACCACAAGAGGAAGAGACGGCUAACUCUGGGCCAGCAGCCGCGGUAAGACAGAGGUCUCAAGCGUUGUUCGGAAUCACUGGGCGUAAAGCGUGCGUAGGCGGUUUCGUAAGUCGUGUGUGAAAGGCGCGGGCUCACCCCGCGGACGGCACAUGAGACUGCGAGACGAGAGUAAUGGAGGGGCAACCGGCCUUCUCGGUGUAGCCGUGCCAUGCGUAGAUAUCGAGAG
rnacentral:rRNA from 1 species